CCUACGGGAGGCAGCAGUGAGGAAUAUUGGUCAAUGGCCGGAAGGCUGAACCAGCCAUGCCGCGUGAAGGUCAGUGCCCUAUGGGCGUUAAACUUCUUUUGUGCGGGAGCAAUAAUGGUCACGUGUGGCCAGACGAGAGUACCGUACGAAUAAGCAUCGGCUAACUCCGUGCCAGCAGCCGCGGUAAUACGGGGGAUGCAAGCGUUAUCCGGAUUUAUUGGGUUUAAAGGGUGCGCAGGCGGUCUGUUAAGUCAGCGGUCAAAGCCCGGGGCUCAACCCCGGCCCGCCGUUGAAACUGGCAGUCU
rnacentral:rRNA from 1 species